rnacentral:rRNA from 1 species
UACGAAGGGGGCUAGCGUUGCUCGGAAUUACUGGGCGUAAAGCGCACGUAGGCGGAUAUUUAAGUCAGGGGUGAAAUCCCGGGGCUCAACCCCGGAACUGCCUUUGAUACUGGGUAUCUGGAGUAUGGAAGAGGUGAGUGGAAUUCCGAGUGUAGAGGUGAAAUUCGUAGAUAUUCGGAGGAACACCAGUGGCGAAGGCGGCUCACUGGUCCAUUACUGACGCUGAGGUGCGAAAGCGUGGGGAGCAAACAGG